rnacentral:rRNA from 1 species
AGUGAACGCUGGCGGUAGGCCUAACACAUGCAAGUCGAACGGCAGCACAGUAAGAGCUUCCUCUUACGGGUGGCGAGUGGCGGACGGGUGAGGAAUACAUCGGAAUCUACUUUUUCGUGGGGGAUAACGUAGGGAAACUUACGCUAAUACCGCAUACGACCUACGGGUGAAAGCAGGGGAUCUUCGGACCUUGCGCGAAUGAAUGAGCCGAUGUCGGAUUAGCUAGUUGGCGGGGUAAAGGCCCACCAAGGCGACGAUCCGUAGCUGGUCUGAGAGGAUGAUCAGCCACACUGGAACUGAGACACGGUCCAGACUCCUACGGGAGGCAGCAGUGGGGAAUAUUGGACAAUGGGCGCAAGCCUGAUCCAGCCAUACCGCGUGGGUGAAGAAGGCCUUCGGGUUGUAAAGCCCUUUUGUUGGGAAAGAAAAGCAGCAGGUUAAUACCCCGCUGUUCUGACGGUACCCAAAGAAUAAGCACCGGCUAACUUCGUG